rnacentral:rRNA from 1 species
CAAGGAAUAUUGCGCAAUGGGCGAAAGCCUGACGCAGCGACGCCGCGUGAGGGAUGAAGGCCUUCGGGUUGUAAACCUCUUUUAUCAGGGAAGAAAAAAAUGACGGUACCUGAGGAAUAAGUCUCGGCUAACUACGUGCCAGCAGCCGCGGUAAUACGUAGGAGGCGAGCGUUAUCCGGAUUUACUGGGCGUAAAGAGGGAGCAGGCGGCUUUUCAAGUCGGAUGUGAAAUCUCCCGGCUUAACCGGGAGCGGUCAUUCGAUACUGUUGGGCUAGAGGGCAGCAGAGGGAGGUGGAAUUCCCGGUGUAGUGGUGAAAUGCGUAGAUACCGGGAGGAACACCAGUGGCGAAGGCGGCCUCCUGGGCUGUUGCUGACGCUGAGGCCCAAAAGCGUGGGGAGCAAACAGG